UGCCAAAAAGCAUACACUGAAGUCCU
rnacentral:piRNA from 1 species